AGCCACGACCUCGGACGGUUUGCCACUGUGGCCAGUGUUUUAUUGAUGCUUCUGAGGCCAUAGAGCACGCACGGGGAAGUUCUGAGCACACGGAGGACAAGCCAGGGCGGUGCUGUGUGGCCGCAGUCAACCCUAAGUAGGGGUCCGAGUGGGGGACGGUCGCUAACACCUCGAUUCCUCAUGUCUGUGUUUCUGCAGCUUGGAGCUUGGAGAGUGUGUGUGAGAGCGACCUCGCUGACAGCCACUCGCAGAAAGUGAUCGAGGUAAGAACAGCUCUCAGGUAGGAGCCAGUGGGAGAGGGUUCCCGGGACACUUGGUUAGGCCUGCUGCUUGGAGGGUGGGGCGGGUGAGUGUGCAAUUGCAAAAGAGAAAGAAAUUGGUGUAAAGAUGUUCGUCGCCUAUGUUCCUAAGGAGGGGGAGCAGGUAUGAGAUGCCCGAAUGUUGGCAUCUGUGCUCACGUUGUGUUGGCGGGCCUCAGUCCCUGGAGCAGAGGGAAGGCCUGGGCACCUGGAGGAAAAACCCGGGUGAUGCUGUGUGACCCGCCGUCACCUCGGGGAAGCCGGGGAAACGGGAGGGCCACUCCUUCUCACGCCUCGCUUCCCCGCGGUGUGUUUCUACAGACUCGGUGGCGGAGCGCACCGACUGCCGCCAGGAUGAGGAGGCUGCAGGAACUCACGACGACGAUGUUGUGGAGGCCGGUGGGAGUGAGAAGACUGAGGCAAAGCCCCGGGCUGGGGGACAUGAGGACGAGGCGGCCCCAGUACCUGAGGUGGAGGUGGAGGAGGAGGCGGGCCAGCCCCGUGAAAAUGGCCAGGAGGAGUCCUUAGCCAUCGCCUGGGCUGAGCCGGAAGACGAGCCUGGCCCCAAGGUAAGCUCACCUUUCUUGAUGUGAGGUUGGAAAAGGUGCCUCCUUUCUUCUUGGAUGUACCUCCUUCAGAAAUGGAAAUCUGAGAAAGUCCACUGUAGAUGAUAUAUGCAGAUUGCUGUGCGGAGGACUGUUGAGUCCAAGUUUGGUACCAAGCAGUAGCUCCUUCCCGGGGCAUUUGCAAAAGGGACCGCAUCAGUUCCCAAGUGUGCAGUAGGGAGCAUAUGUCUUUGAAGAAGCCGGAAUGUUGUUUUGUCUUGUUUGUCUUUUUUUGCCUUUUCUAGGGCCCCUCCCGCGGCAUAUGGAGAUGAGGUUCCCAGGCUAGGGGUCUGAUCGGAGCUGUAGCCACCGGCCUACGCCAGAGCCACAGCAACGUGGGAUCCGAGCCUCGUCUGCCACCUACACCACAGCUCAGGGCAGCGCCGGAUACUUCACCCACUGAGCAAGGCCAGGGAUCGAACCCGCAACCUCAUGGUUCUUGGUCCGAUUCGUUAACCACUGUGCCACGAUG
rnacentral:lncRNA from 1 species